rnacentral:tRNA from 1 species
ACUAUAUUAGUAUAAUAAUAGUACAUUUAACUUCCAAUUAAAAAGUUUUUUUAAUAUAG